AUGGAACACUCCAGAGAAAUGCAGUUCAUGGACAUUUGGUUACGAGAAAUUCUGAUGCCAGCAGAUUGUGAACCAGCUUUUCAGAUUAGAGUUUUCUCAGGCCUUGUAUCCAGGAGCACCACUCUACAAAGAGCACAAGCACAUCUGUGGGUCAAUUCCAGGAGGCAGGCAUGGGGAUGGGGAUGUGGGCAGAGAGGGAGGGGCACUCACUGAGUCCUGAGUGGUUAGAACCUGGAUUUCUGCUUUAAAUCCUGAGUGCAGCACUAACAAUCUGUUGACUUUGGGCUGGUUAUUUAAUCUCAUUGAGCCUUAGCUGUCUCCUCUGUAAAACAGGAGAAACAAUAACUACAAUAUGAGGUUGUUGGGGAGAUUAAAUGAGCUAAAAACAAAACAGAAACCUAAAGUCCUUCAACCAGUGCUGCAGAGAGUAAACCUACGUAAGCAUUUGCUAUCAUUAUUUAGGGUUUACGAGAUCAGACACAUCUUUAUUUCACUUCAUUUCAUUAAAGUCUCAAGCCAAUCCUUCCAGAUUGUUAGAGUUAUCCCCUUUUCACAGAUGUAAAUACUGAGGCUUCUGAGGAUUAAGUAGCUAAUUCAAAGCCAGAUAACUAGGAGAUGGCAAGACCAGCACUUGAACCCCAUCAUCACACUCAUUAUCAUCUUAACCACCAUUUCCUGGAAGUCAGGUGGUACACUGAGCACUUCACAGCAACCAUCUUAUCAAAGACUCAAAAUCACUCUCCAAGGAAAGAACUGUAACUAUUUCAUACAAACAAGGACACAAGGUUGGAAGAAUUAAAUCUUGGGCGAGGUCACACUGUUAGUUAAGGAAUGAAGUGGGAGCUUGAUCCUAGUUCUGACACCAAAGCUCACAGUCUCUUCCAUUCAAGUCCUGACUGUCUAGUAUUUGUCAUAGAUCUUGUAACUUCACUUGAAAUCAUCAACGAGCCUGAAUUCAUAUUAAAUGUAAACAACACUAGCCUUGUUAAGUGAAGUCCAGGAAAGGCUCACUCCAUGAAGGGGCCUGCUGUCCUGAAUAACAAGGAGUUAGGAUAUCCCCAAAGAAAAGCCUAGGUUUCCACCUGGUUCCUUCUAGAAGGCUUGGUUGGGGGUCACUGAUACCAACUGGGAAAUGUGUUAAAAAGAAGCAUGAGGAGUUCUUGGUCAUUAGACUUUUAUCUUUUGGGAAUUAGAAGACCACAAAUAUUUUCUCAUGUAUCAUCAUCUGCUCCCAGCUCUUCUACCAUGGAAAGGCUUUCCUUUCCUUAGCAGUAUUUGACUGCCCUACUCAGCUAAGCAUGACUCUGAAAAUAUCUACCAAGUUGCUCCAUCCCCCAACUAUUUUCUGUCCCUAAACUAUAUCAUGGAGAUGACAUACAGAAGGGCCAAUAGCAACAAAGAUAUAAUGAGGUAUACAAAGAUAUAGUGAUGGCGACUUUUCACGUUUCAUGAAAACAGUAACCAACCCACACCUGGUGCUAACCUGAUACUCACUUUGCAAAUUACCUAGACCCUCAUGUUGACCCAUUCAAUAGUUCUAUAGGAAACUAUAUUGUUGUUUGCUUUAUUGACUAUGCCAAAGCCUUUGACUGUGUAGAUCACAACAAACUGUGGAAAAUUCUUCAAGAGAUGGGAAUACCAGACCACCUGACCUACCUCCUGAGAAAUCCGUAUGCAGGUCAGGAAGCAAGAGUUAGAACUGGACAUGGAACAACAGACUAGUUCCAAAUAGGAAAAGGAGUACGUCAAGGCUGUAUAUUGUCACCCUGUUUAUUUA
rnacentral:lncRNA from 1 species